rnacentral:rRNA from 1 species
UACAGAGGGUGCGAGCGUUAUCCGGAAUUACUGGGCGUAAAGGGCGUGUAGGUGGUUUGUUAAGUUCGAUGUUAAAGCGUGAGGCUCAACCUCAUAAUGGCGUUGAAUACUGGCAAGCUAGACGACUGGAGAGGAAAGCAGAAUUACCAGUGUAGCGGUGAAAUGCGUAGAGAUUGGGAAGAACACCGGUGGCGAAGGCGCUCUGCUAUACCGUAACUGACGCUGAGGCACGAAAGUGUGGGGAUCAAACAGG